rnacentral:rRNA from 1 species
AUUGAACGCUGGCGGCAGGCCUAACACAUGCAAGUCGAACGGUAACAGGAAGCAGCUUGCUGCUUUGCUGACGAGUGGCGGACGGGUGAGUAAUGUCUGGGAAACUGCCUGAUGGAGGGGGAUAACUACUGGAAACGGUAGCUAAUACCGCAUAACGUCGCAAGACCAAAGAGGGGGACCUUCGGGCCUCUUGCCAUCGGAUGUGCCCAGAUGGGAUUAGCUAGUAGGUGGGGUAACGGCUCACCUAGGCGACGAUCCCUAGCUGGUCUGAGAGGAUGACCAGCCACACUGGAACUGAGACACGGUCCAGACUCCUACGGGAGGCAGCAGUGGGGAAUAUUGCACAAUGGGCGCAAGCCUGAUGCAGCCAUGCCGCGUGUAUGAAGAAGGCCUUCGGGUUGUAAAGUACUUUCAGCGGGGAGGAAGGGAGUUAAGUUAAUACCUUUGCUCAUUGACGUUACCCGCAGAAGAAGCACCGGCUAACUCCGUG